GGGGGGGGGGGGGGGGGGGGGCGCUAUGAGUCAGCAAAGCGCGGGCGCCCUCUGCCGGUCCCGCUGCGCCUCCUGCGCCCGGGGGGGCCGCACCGGCGGCGCGCCGGGGAGCCCUUACCGAGACACCGGGUGGCCUUUACCGAGCGACCAGGCGGCCCGGCCGCGGUGCGCCCCAGAACCGCUGCUCGCCCACCGGGAUGGAAAGCCCCUGCCCGGGCAGCCCUCCCCGCCCCCCCCCCCCCCCCCAGAACGCCGGGUCUUGGGAGCGAGGAGCCGCUCCCCGGGACGCGGCGGGAGCGUCGGGGUUCCGACAGCUGGAGCGAGGACACCGAUCCCGCUCCCGUUCCCCGGAGGCAGGCAAAGCUCCAGGUGACCGAGGAUACGGAGGAUCUCUGAGGACAAUGCCCUGGCACACCAAGACACAAAGCAGCUGGAGUGGGGAUCUGGCGACCAGUCCACAGUAGGGAGACCCGACCCGUGAAGCUGCAGCGCCGUGGCCCGGCAGGAGCCAAGGGGGACUCUCUGAAUCCCCAAAAUUCUGCUGCUGUGUCCCUACCCUGGGGUGUGUGCAGAUGGCUGGGUGGGAGCGAGGCCACUGGUGCAAGGCAGAGAGCCGGGCUGGAAGGGAGCCUUUGUUGCACAGCCCACGGCCCCCCGCCUGCCCCAGCCCCCUCCAAGCUCUGGGGGGAGAUGAGCUCAGGCGGCUCCGACUCCGGCUCCUGCCAUUGUUGUCCCUGGGAGAGGGGCCGGGGCAGGGAUGCGCCAUUGUUCUCCCUGGGCCUGGGAAGCCGCCCCUAGGGGGGCCACAUCUCCAGCUGGCUGUGCGGGGUGAGGCCCUGGAGCAGCGAGGAGAGGGGACAGCCAGGGCCACAGGUUUGGGUUUGGCCCCGCCACAGCUCAGGCUUGUGCACCGGGAGGGGCCAUGGUGGGGACAAGGUGUCACACCAGAGCCACUCCUGCAGGGAGCAGGGUCUGGCCGCCAGCUCCCAGCCCUGAUCUGUGGGGAGGGACAAGGGGACAUUGUGGCCAGGGCUGGGAGUGUAGCCUGCUUGGGUUCUUUGGCAAAGCAGCCAUGCCCCAAGGGCAGGGCAUCUCCCCACAUCCUGGCAGCCCUGAAGAGCCCCUUUCCCAGUUGCCACUCUCCUCACACGGCUCCAUCUCCUUCCUGGGAGGAAGCUCAUCUCCUCCAGUAAUCCCAUGAUUCCAGGAGCUGGUGCUUUAGGAAGUGUGUGCACAUUUCAGUAUGGUUGAAGGUAUCUGGAACCUCCAGAGACACAAGCUGGGAGAUCCCAGGAUUCCCAGCAGCCUGGAUUUUGUGUGUUUAGUUUAUUGUGUUGCCCUGGGAAUAAAUCGUUAAAGAUUACAGGCAGACUUGGGCAUAAUUGCCGCA